GUGCAGCAGGCGCGAAUACUUUACAAUGUGCGAAAGCACGAUAAGGGAACUCUGAGUGCCUCCUAAGGAGGCUGUUCAGGUGUCUAAAAGCACCUGGAGUAAGGGCUGGGUAAGACCGGUGCCAGCCGCCGCGGUAACACCGGCAGCCCAGGUGGUAGCCACUUUUAUUGGGUCUAAAGCGUCCGUAGCCGGUUGAGUAAGUUCCUUGGGAAAUUUGGCUGCUCAACAGUCAAGCUUCCAGGGAAUACUGCUCGACUUGGGACUGGGAGAGGUCAGAGGUACUCCAGGGGUAGGGUGAAAUCCAUUAAUCCCUGGGGGACCACCGGUAGCGAAGGCGUCUGACCAGACCAGGUCCGACGGUGAGGGACGAAGGCUAGGGUCGCGAACCGGAUUAGAUACCCGUGUAGU
rnacentral:rRNA from 1 species